rnacentral:lncRNA from 1 species
CUCCCGUGGAUGCGCACCGUUACGUCACAGAAGUGGCCACGGUUGCGCUGCUCGUUGAGGGUCUCGAGCACGGAAUUGCUGAAGUUGUGAAGGUUGAUGCUGUGAAUGCGCUCGGUCAUCCCCUUGCAACUGAUGUCACCUGCAGCAUGUCAACGCAGACACAAAACAGGGCAUGGGUCAGAUCUAGCUGGUUGCAUUCCUAACACCUAGGUUUCAGAGUAAAAAUACAGAGUCAGCUUGUGAUGGCAUUCCCUCAAAACAUGGAAGGAAUUGCAGUAAUGAAAGUCAUCAUGUAUUCUAAGAGACUGUUCUGCGAGAGCACAACACAGACGGGGCUAAAGCAGGGAUUGUCUAAGCCCAGUGUGGAGGAACCAUCAAGGAUUUCAGCACGUUUUUUUAGCCAUUGUGAGAAGCAAAAGUGCUCAGGAGUUAAGAGAAGCAGACGUCCGAAAUUAUCUCCAUGCAUUACCAAAAACCGUGGGCACCACGGCACGGGGAAAACUUACCAGGUACAAUGAGCCAGUGACUGUUACUGAAUUUCUUAAGAUUACACUUUUCCCAACUACUGCAGACUGCUUCAGAAUAGAAGAAGACAACUCUCAUGCCAUCAAGCCGACGGACUUUCAAAAAAAUAAAAGAUGCAUUUCUUUACUUGGCCCAUGAGAAGUAAAAGCAGGCACUGGCAUUCUGCACAGAUGAAAUACUUCCUACGACAGGAAUACAUGCUCACUUGUGGACUUCUCUGUAAUCUGUAGGCAACAUCAGCUCCUGAUUUCUAGGUCUGGAUCUGGGUUCUCUGUAGCACAGGAAGGUCUCUACUUCUCCUACAUAAAUGCCUUGCAUGGCGGGAACUAAAUCAACUACACAGACCCAUACAUCCAGAGAGCAGAGGUGAGCUGGAUACAAGUGGCUUAGAGAUGUGGUGGAAGGAGGCCAGAGCUCCAAGGGAAGGGCAGCAAGGAGACAACAGCAUGGGUUGCAGCUCAGACAACAGGUAAAUAAAACCAAGCAAAGCUGCUGGUCACAGAUUUGACCAGGGUGGCAAGAAAUGACAAGCUACCAUGAGAUUCAACAGUGGCACGGAAGGAUGAUGAGAAGCAAACAGAUUAGGAGAAGCUGCCACCACCGUACAUAGAGGCACAGAUGACCAAGCAGAACAGCACCAGUCCCUGCAAGGUGUGCUCAGAUACAGCUCAGCACAGCCAUCUGGCCAGGAGGGAAUGAUAAUGCACAUGGUGUGCACUGCAGCCGGGAAGUUGAGAACCGCUGUGGGCACCUCAGGACUGAGUCUGGUUACCCUGCUGAUCCAAGAAAUGAAGCCAUCUAAAAUUUUGCCUGCUUUCACAAUUUUCUGUGUGUGUGUGUGUGUAUUAAACAAAGUGAACUAAGAAGCCUUUUAUUGGAGACAUAAUGUACUCACAGUAGUUUCAAAAUCAAUGGUGUCACUCUUCAGGUAAAUUACUCCAAG